GAUGAACGCUGGCGGCGUGCUUAACACAUGCAAGUCGAACGAAGCAAUCAGACGGAAGUUUUCGGAUGGAAGACUGAUUGACUGAGUGGCGGACGGGUGAGUAACGCGUGGGUAACCUGCCUCAUACAGGGGGAUAACAGUUAGAAAUGACUGCUAAUACUGCAUAAGCGCACAGUAUCGCAUGAUACAGUGUGAAAAACUCCGGUGGUAUGAGAUGGACCCGCGUCUGAUUAGCUAGUUGGUAAGGUAACGGCUUACCAAGGCGACGAUCAGUAGCCGACCUGAGAGGGUGACCGGCCACAUUGGGACUGAGACACGGCCCAAACUCCUACGGGAGGCAGCAGUGGGGAAUAUUGCACAAUGGGGGAAACCCUGAUGCAGCGACGCCGCGUGGAGGAAGAAGGUUUUCGGAUUGUAAACUCCUGUCUUCGGGGAAGAUAAUGACGGUACCCGAGGAGGAAGCCACGGCUAACUACGUGCCAGCCGCCGCGGUAACAC
rnacentral:rRNA from 1 species